CAUUAUAGUGCAAACUGUUGGAAACAGAAUUGCCUUAACAAUGCAUUUUUAAGAUGCGUUAAUCUAGGCCAUAUGAAACAGAUGUACAGCAAUAACAAGAGCACGGCAGGAACAGCUGAGACCUCAAUUUUCUCUACAUUUAAAUAGUCCAUGGAACUCCAGCAGAAGUAGAACAAGGGAUCUGCUCUCAGAGGGAGCACCAAGACCUUCCAUAAAUCAUGACACUAGGAAUAGAAAUAGAGUUUACAAAUUACAGCCAUGGUCUUAAGUUCCACAUGUUCCACAUCCCAUCAUACAAAAUAAUCCUCUGUGAUGGUAAUUGGAGGCCUGAACCCACUCAGAUACCUUUUCUGUGGCGCCCUUUCCCCAUUUGUAGGAUGCCUUCUCCAGAGAGGUCUAUGUGGAGCCUAUGUUAUUAUCUUUGAGUUCUAAGCAAAUUUUAUUCUUGGAUGUCUUUUUAUUUCAAUUUUCUUCUAUUACUGUACUACAUGGUGUUGUA